rnacentral:rRNA from 1 species
AGCAGCCGCGGUAAUUCCAGCUCCAAUAGCGUAUAUUAAAGUUGUUGCAGUUAAAAAGCUCGUAGUUGAAUUUCGGGAUCAAGGAAUCGGUCAUGCCUUGGUAUGUACUGGUUUUAUUGGUUCUCACCUUCUAAAGAACCAUAAUGUCAUUUAUUUGAUGUUAUGGGGAAUUAGGACUGUUACCUUGAAAAAUUAGAGUGUUUAAAGCAAGCUUACGCUUGAAUACAUUAGCAUGGAAUAAUGAAAUAGGACAUCAGAUUCUAUUUUGUUGGUUUCUAGGAUCGAUGUAAUGAUUAAUAGGGAUAGUUGGGGGCAUUAGUAUUCAAUUGUCAGAGGUGAAAUUCUUGGAUUUAUUGAAGACUAACUACUGCGAAAGCAUUUGCCAAGGAUGUUUUCAUUAAUCAAGAACGAAAGUUAGGGGAUCGAAGACGAUCAGAUACCGUCGUAGUCUUAACCAUAAACUA